rnacentral:rRNA from 1 species
GACGAACGCUGGCGGCGUGCCUAAUACAUGCAAGUCGAACACCGUGGGGACGGGUGCGUAACACGUGGGUAACCUCCCAUCAGAGGGGAUAACACUUGGAAACAGGUGCUAAACCGAUACUGAUGGAUGGACCCGCGGUGCAUGAGCUAGUUGGUGAGGUAACGGCUCACCAAGGCCACGAUACAUAGCCGACCGGAGAUGGUGAGCGGCCACACGUGUACUGAGACACGGCCCAGACUCCUACGGUAGGCAGCAGUAGUGAAUCUUCGGCAAUGGACGAAAGUCUGACCGAGCAACGCCGCGUGAGGUAAGAAGGUUUUCGGAUCGUAAAACUCUGUUGUUAGAGAAGCGGUAUCUAACCAGAAAGCCACGGCUAACUACGUGCCAGCAGCCGCGGUAAUAC